UCCGGCUUACCACCGGCGGUCCCUUUAGAGUGCCCAACUUAAUGAUGGCAACUAAAGGCGAGGGUUGCGCUCGUUGCGGGACUUAACCCAACAUCUCACGACACGAGCUGACGACAGCCAUGCAGCACCUGUGUCCUGGUCCCCGAAAGGAAAACCGGAUCUCUCCGGCGGUCCAGGCAUGUCAAAAGGUGGUGAGGUUCUGCGCGUUGCU
rnacentral:misc_RNA from 1 species